rnacentral:rRNA from 1 species
GGAUGAACGUUGGCGGCGUGCCUAAUACAUGCAAGUCGAACGAAGACUGUAGUAAUACUGUCUUAGUGGCGAACGGGUGAGUAACGCGUGGGUGACCUGCCCCGAAGUGUGGGAUAACAGUCCGAAAGGAUUGCUAAUACUGCAUAAUAUCCAAGAGAUUAGAUGCUUUUGGAUUAAAGGAGUAAUUCGCUUCGGGAGGGGCCCGCGUCCCAUCAGCUAGUUGGUAAGGUAAUGGCUUACCAAGGCGAUGACGGGUAGGGGACCUGAGAGGGUGGCCCCCCACAAUGGAACUGAAACACGGUCCAUACACCUACGGGUGGCAGCAGUAGGGAAUAUUAGUAAUGGGCGAAAGCCUGAACUAGCAACGCCGCGUGUGCGAAGAAGGCCUUCGGGUCGUAAAGCACUUUUUGAGAGGAUGAGGAAGGACGGUACUCUCAGAAUAAGUCUCGGCUAACUACGUGCCAGCAGCCGCGGUAACACGUAGGAGGCAAACGUUAUCCGGAUUUACUGGGCGUAAAGCGCGUGUAGGUGGUUUGGUAAGUAGGGCGUGAAAGCUCCUGGCUCAACUGGGAGAGGACGUUCUAAACUGCCAAGCUUGAGGAUGGUAGAGGGAGGUGGAAUUCCGGGUGUAGCGGUGGAAUGCGCAGAUAUCCGGAGGAACACCAGUGGCGAAGGCGGCCUCCUGGACCACUCCUGACACUCAGACGCGAAAGCUAGGGUAGCAAACGGGAUUAGAGACCCCGGUAGUCCUAGCCCUAAACGAUGUAGACNNNGCGUCGGUGGUUUAAUCGCCAUCGGUGUCGUAGCUAACGCGAUAAGUCUACCGCCUGGGGACUACGGCCGCAAGGUUAAAACUCAAAGGAAUUGACGGGGACCCGCACAAGCGGUGGAUGAUGUGGAUUAAUUCGAUGCAACGCGAAAAACCUUACCUACCCUUGACAUGUCUGGAACCUUGCUGAGAGGCGAGGGUGCCUUCGGGAGCCAGAACACAGGUGCUGCAUGGCUGUCGUCAGCUCGUGUCGUGAGAUGUUGGGUUAAGUCCCGCAACGAGCGCAACCCUUGUCACUAGUUGCCAUCAUUUGGUUGGGCACUCUAGUGAGACUGCCGGUGACAAACCGGAGGAAGGUGGGGAUGACGUCAAGUCCUCAUGGCCCUUAUGGGUAGGGCUUCACACGUCAUACAAUGGUCGGUACAGAGGGUUGCCAAGCCGCGAGGUGGAGCCAAUCCCUUAAAGCCGAUCGUAGUCCGGAUCGUAGUCUGCAACUCGACUACGUGAAGUCGGAAUCGCUAGUAAUCGCAGAUCAGCAUGCUGCGGUGAAUACGUUCCCGGGUCU